GAAUUCGAUUCAGGCCUAACACAUGCAAGUCGAACGAUGAACCUUAGCUUGCUAGGGGAAUUAGUAGAGAACGGGUGAGUAACAUAUCGGAACGUACCUAGUAAUGGGGGAUAACUAGUCGAAAGAUUAGCUAAUACCGCAUACGCCCUGAGGGGGAAAGUAGGGGAUCUUCGGACCUUACGUUAUUAGAGCGGCCGAUAUCUGAUUAGCUAGUUGGUGGGGUAAAGGCCUACCAAGGCGACGAUCAGUAGCUGGUCUGAGAGGACGACCAGCCACACUGGAACUGAGGCACGGUCCAGACUCCUACGGGAGGCAGCAGUGGGGAAUUUUGGACAAUGGGCGCAAGCCUGAUCCAUCCAAGAGGCGUGAGUGAAGAAGGCCUUCGGGUU
rnacentral:rRNA from 1 species